rnacentral:rRNA from 1 species
AUUGUACGCUGGCGGCAUGCCUUACACAUGCAAGUCGAACGGUAACGGGCCUUCGGGUGCCGACGAGUGGCGAACGGGUGAGUAAUGUAUCGGAACGUACCUUUCAGUGGGGGAUAACGUAGCGAAAGUUACGCUAAUACCGCAUAUUCUGUGAGAAGGAAAGCAGGGGAUCGCAAGACCUUGCGCUGAUUGAGCGGCCGAUAUCAGAUUAGCUAGUUGGUGAGGUAAAGGCUCACCAAGGCGACGAUCUGUAGCGGGUCUGAGAGGAUGAUCCGCCACACUGGAACUGAGACACGGUCCAGACUCCUACGGGAGGCAGCAGUGGGGAAUUUUGGACAAUGGGGGCAACCCUGAUCCAGCCAUGCCGCGUGAGUGAAGAAGGCCUUCGGGUUGUAAAGCUCUUUCGGCCGGGAAGAAAUCGUAUCAGCUAAUACCUGGUGCGGAUGACGGUACCGGCAUAAGAAGCACCGGCUAACUACGUGCCAGCAGCCGCAGUAAAAC